AGUCGAACGAGAAAGUGGAGCAAUCCAUGAGUACAGUGGCGAACGGGUGAGUAACACGUGACUAACCUGCCUUCGAGUGGGGGAUAACCUCGGGAAACCGGGGCUAAUACCGCAUAACAUCCUCAGGGUGCAAUUCCCAGGGGACCAAAGGGGUAAGACGCUUGAAGAGGGGGUCGCGGCUGAUUAGCUAGUUGGUGAGGUAAUGGCUCACCAAGGCGAAGAUCGGUAGCCGGCCUGAGAGGGCGCACGGCCACACUGGAACUGAAACACGGUCCAGACUCCUACGGGAGGCAGCAGUGGGGAAUUUCGCGCAAUGGGGGAAACCCUGACGCAGCAACGCCGCGUGGAGGAUGAAGCCCCUUGGGGCGUAAACUCCUUUCGAUCGGGACGAUUAUGACGGUACCGGAUGAAGAAGCACCGGCUAACUCUGUGCCAGCAGCCGCGGUAAUACAGAGGGUGCGAGCGUUGUUCGGAAUUAUUGGGCGUAAAGGGCGCGUAGGCGGUGCGGCAAGUCACCUGUGAAACCUCUGGGCUUAACCCAGAGCCUGCAGGCGAAACUGCCGUGCUGGAGUGUGGGAGAGGUGCGUGGAAUUCCCGGUAUAGCGGUGAAAUGCGUAGAUAUCGGGAGGAACACCUGUGGCGAAAGCGGCGCACUGGACCACAACUGACGCUGAGGCGCGAAAGCUAGGGGAGCAAACAGGAUUAGAUACCCU
rnacentral:rRNA from 1 species